AUUGAACGCUGGCGGCAGGCCUAACACAUGCAAGUCGAGCGGAUGAAGGGAGCUUGCUCCUGGAUUCAGCGGCGGACGGGUGAGUAAUGCCUAGGAAUCUACCUGGUAGUGGGGGAUAACGUCCGGAAACGGGCGCUAAUACCGCAUACGUCCUGAGGGAGAAAGUGGGGGAUCUUCGGACCUCACGCUAUCAGAUGAGCCUAGGUCGGAUUAGCUAGUUGGUGGGGUAAAGGCCUACCAAGGCGACGAUCCGUAACUGGUCUGAGAGGAUGAUCAGUCACACUGGAACUGAGACACGGUCCAGACUCCUACGGGAGGCAGCAGUGGGGAAUAUUGGACAAUGGGCGAAAGCCUGAUCCAGCCAUGCCGCGUGUGUGAAGAAGGUCUUCGGAUUGUAAAGCACGUUAAGUUGGGAGGAAGGGCAGUAAGUUAAUACCUUGCUGUUUUGACGUUACCAACAGAAUAAGCACCGGCUAACUUCGUG
rnacentral:rRNA from 1 species